CCUACGGGAGGCAGCAGUGAGGAAUAUUGGUCAAUGGACGCAAGUCUGAACCAGCCAUGCCGCGUGCAGGAAGACGGCUCUAUGAGUUGUAAACUGCUUUUGUACGAGGGUAAACUCCGAUACGCGUAUCUUUCUGUAAGUAUCGUACGAAUAAGGACCGGCUAACUCCGUGCCAGCAGCCGCGGUAAUACGGAGGGUUCAAGCGUUAUCCGGAUUUAUUGGGUUUAAAGGGUGCGUAGGCGGUCGGAUAAGUUAGCGGUGAAAUCCCGAGGCUCAACUUCGGAAUUGCCUCUGAUACUGGUCGGCUAGAGAGUAGUGGCGGUAGGCGGAAUGUAUGGUGUAGCGGUGAAAUGCUUAGAGAUCAUACAGAACACCGAUUGCGAAGGCAGCUUACCAAGGUGCUUCUGACGUUGAAGCACGAAAGCGUGGGGAGCAAACAGGAUUAGAUACCCUAGUAGUC
rnacentral:rRNA from 1 species